UUAAAAAUAAAUUUUUCCAAACGUUUAACUGAUUCUCUAGUUGGUUGAUUAUUUCUACAUUACAAUUAAUAACAAUUAUUUUAAAAGUUACAAUAUUAUCAAACUAACCCUAAAAAAAUUAUAAAAUCAAUUUUGAAAGGUUUUAUUUUGGCGCCUGUUGAAAUCUGAGCUUUGCCCUUGUUCCUAACGCAAGGGAAAAUAGAAAUGUUCCUGCAUUUUUUCUUGUCAAAGAAAUAUAAGUUGUAUGUCGUCUAAUAUCAGUAUAAUCGCAAUCUAUAUGUAUAGAAAACAAAAAAAAAAAGUUCACAACAUAUAUUAUCAUCACUUAGCAGAAACUUCUACAGGCGAAGGGGAAAUUUAGAACAUAGGGGCACAAGAGAUACCAACACAUCCACUAAUAUCUCCAUAAACAGCGCAUAUAUCAUACUAGAUCUCCUUUUGGGAUAUGCCUCUAACUUAUUCAACACAACCUCCAUCACUAGAGUAGGCUAGGCCGAUAGAAUAACAGAUCUUUGAUAUAGAACGAUUUGUAACUUUCAACUUUCCAUAUCUAAUUAUUGGAAGCUUCAAAUCCAACUUAGUCAUUCCUUGCUAAUAUUGGAGUGAUAUAUUUCUUCUAUUCAUAUUUGUUAGUACUGCUAUCUAAUUAUGGGAGUGUUGAGACUUGAACGUAGUAGCCUAUACGCGAUGAUUCAUCAUAUUUCUAAAAUGUACCAAUAAAAUAUAUGUGAAAAAGAGAAUAUAUCUUGAAUUAAAUGAAAGUGCAGAAUCAAAUGCUAGUUCAAUGAUCAAUAAUUGUUUAAGAAUUGGUUUCUCAUAUAAUCAACUCCAAUGACACAUGGUCAAAAGCUACAUACAGAAAUAAAAUAGGUUAAUAAUUGGAAGAAAUAUUCGGUAGUGGAGCACCCAAUUGCUGGUGGUGUGGUUAAUUUUUCUUUUUCUUUUAAAGCAAUACAACAUGGAAAAUAUUUUUUCAUUUAUAUAAACACGAAAAAUAAUAAUUGCUAAAGGAAUCUUUUGCAUUGUGGACGACAACAUAAGGUCAUUAUUAAUUAUCAAUAUCAAAAUAGUAAUGUCUGCAUAAUUAGAAAAGUUUAUACCAAAACUUUACAUCUAUGUCCACUUCAAAAUUAUUUUUGAAUGGAUAUUGUGGAGUUCACGUCUGUAAUAACAUAUCUUGAAUGUUUCCAUGCAUUAAAAGAGAAAAAAAUCGUUAAAUAUUAUUAAUAAUAUAUUUUAUGUUAUACACUAGAACUAAAUAAAUAAUCUUGAGGAUAUUUUCAUAAUAUGACCCUUCUAAUCAAACAUACAAAAAGCAAUGACAAUCCAAAUAAGAGGUGGCCAAUUGGGGUCAAGUAUGACUCCUACAUUGUUUUCAUUCUUUUAAAAAUUUGUGGUAUAGAUAGUAUAAAUGUGACAGACACAUCUUAACGUCACUCUCACUCAUUUUCCUAGCUCAAAUUAUCCUAAGCAAGAGCAGGAGAUGGGCAGUUUUUUUUUCCCCUCUUUUUUUCCUUGACAAUUGUGAACCUAAGUAUUUCCCCAAAUUUCCAACAUCACCCCCACACUGACAAGUCAAAGCUGUCUGACCUCAAAAAAAGUGUAUGGGUUGUUCAUAUGCCUAUCAACAUGCAUCCGUAUUCAGUCAUUUUAUUUUCAUAUUUCGUAUCCACCUUCAAUUGGACCCAUCUACGAAAUGUGUGCCAUGUUCCGAUUGAUUGAAUUUGUAAGAUAUAAUAAAAGACAGAGAUAACUUGAUUUUUUCGAUUAAAGUAUUGAGAUCGAGUUGAUAAUUGUGGUAGUUGUUGAUUAUUGUAUGUUGUUAAGAUAGCAUCAUAAGAUCAUAUAGUAUAUAGCUUUAUUAUGAAAUUACUUUUCCUUUUUUAUUUACUGUGUACUGCACUCUAUCUCUGCCUAAAUAACAUGUAUCUCCUUAAAAUUGAAUCAUUGAACUGUUGUUUCCAUGACAAGAAGGCAAACUAAAUGGACUAUCCUUGGAGGAUAAAAAUAUAUAAUUUUUU
rnacentral:lncRNA from 1 species